UAAAACCUACUGCCAACAUCUGUAUGCAUGAUAUUGUGAUUAAGGAUAACAGUGAAGGUAACGUAUGAGUUACCUGUUUAGUUGAAGCUGCAUCUCUACACUUGGCCUUCAGCCUGGGUUUUUCUGCCUCCAUCUGCUGCAGUUGUGCAGCUGCAGUCCUGGAGCAGCAGCAUUCAGCACUUCUCCAAGCAGUGCUUCCUACCCUGUAAGCAGGUUGUCUGAAGGCAGCUUGGUUUAGCAAUAAGGGCGCCCAAUGUCAAUGAGAUGGGUUCAAGUGCUUCUUAAGAGUCAUAGGGCCUUAAACUCAUCAAGUGUAAGCUGAGCUGAAACUACAUCUGUUAGCUGCUCUCUGCACUCUGGAGAGCUUCCAUUGGUGAUAUCCAUCCUUUAUGAGCCUGGGAAGGAUUAUGGCUCUGAAGUGGCGACAGCUCUUUCAGGUUAGAGGCAGCAGUUGCCCCUCGUGGGGCAGGAUGCCAGUCUGCCUUCAAAAACUGUUCAUUCCUGGUGCCAGCGUGCCUGUGGGGAGCUUUGGAUUGCUGGCUUCCAGAUAUCUGUGCUUUAAUGAGGUUGUUAAGCUUAAUCUUUCUAUUCAACUCUGAAGUGUCUGAACUGUCCGGGCAGCGAUCAGAAUUCCCUUGUUCUGUAGUGGCUGCAAAUAAAUGCGUAUUCACAGUAUUUAGAUCUCCUUGGGUUAUGUCCGACUAAUACCCACCUGUGCUUGCCAAAUCCCAAGCAUUUGGCUUCAAACCCUGCAUUCAGAGGGAGCUCCAGGCCUGUUUAACCUGCGGUGAUGCCAUAAUGCCAACCCCAAGGAACCAGCUCCAGCCUCAGGUGUGCAUCUGGGGAUACUUCUCUGGAGCUGCAGGGAGAUGAUGCUCCUGGUGAUGGCUGCUCUAUGGGAUCAGAGGGGGGGUAAAGUCAUUUUACACACACAAGUGUUACAACUAAUCCAAGCUGUGUCAUUGCAGUGUGGUUCACUCAGGCGACCUCUCAUCUUUCUAUGCUACUGUUGCCUUUUUAAAGUGUUUUUUUGUUUUUAAAGCUUUUUGUGUUCAUUUGGGCUAUCAGAAGCAGCCCUUGCUGGGCACUGACUUGCAGGGUUGGGGGCAUUUGACCUCUGGUGAAAGCUUUGGUGUUUGUGGCACUUUCUAAAUGGAAGGUGCAAUCAAUUGCUGUUUGUAAAUAAGCCAACAAGUAAUUACUUGUUUAUAUAAAACCUGUGGGAAUCAUUAGCUUAGAGGCAGAGAUAAGGCAUUUUCAUCCCCUGGUAAACCAUAGCCUUGCUGACAGGGAGAUGCUGGCAUUUCAGGGCAGCUGGGCACAAACCUCCUCUUAUAUUCAGCCUUUUUCUUACUUCUAGAAUAGGCUUCCCUCCCAUGCUUGUCACUCUGGCCAAGAGGACUUAAAAUCCAUGGGAGGAUGGUAAAUGUUGGCCUGGAGUGUGUUUAAUAGACAUUUUAAUUCUUGCCCCUCUUCCCAAAAUAGGGAACUAGUGGAUUUCUUUUCCUAAUGUACAGGUUGAGAGCAGGUCAUUGCAGCCUGGCAGGGUCUAGCCGGGCUUGCUAGAGUGACUCGUCAAAUUUAUGCCCUUAACAAACAAAACCUUUGGAGCUGCCCAGCAGUGCAGGGAGGGGUUCAGCAGGAGGAACUGAAAGCAGCGGGGCUGAGCAGAAACAGAUGCGGGAGAUGCUGUUGCAUCCACUGUGAGCUGGCAAUUAAAAGCCGCUCGGGUGCGAGGUGAAACAGCCCCCUCCGAGAUCGCUGCAGGGGUGGCCAUGCAGGCUGGGGAAGCGGGGAAGCCUUCCGCCCCCCGACGGGGCGGGCAGUGGGGCUGGAGCGGUGUGACCCACAGCCGGGAGGGGGGGAGAGGCUUCCGUGGGACUUGUCUGGGCUUGUUCAAGCUUCUGCCCGGCCCUGAACAGCUCUUAUCGGCUGCGGAUGGAUGCAGCCCCGGGCCGGCAUUGCGCCCUGCGAGCCCCCGCUGCGUCCUGCCUGCUGCGCCCAGGUGCGUGUUUGCGUGCGGUGCCUGCUGCUGGCAGCCUAUUUCCAGCGAUGCUGCUGGCUCUAUAGGCUGUUCUCCUAGACAUUUUAUAAUUUAAAGGGUAACGUGGGCAAGGAGAGCUCUAUUGUGUGCUGUUCUAUCCUUCUAUUGAGCAGGAGAGAGCACCUUAGCUAUACCUGCCCGUGGGUGCCCUCUGUGUUGCUCACCUGCUCAGGUGUCUGUGCAGACUGCCCGGUGGUAUUGUGUGGUAUCCAGGCAGCUAUUAGAUUACAUGGGAGGUGAAGGCUUGCUGGUUCAGAUGAGAAUUGAAGACACAAGGAGUCGCUUCAGAUCAGAGACAGCCCGUGACUCACUGUGAAGGCAUUGCCCCAUGUUCCUACAGCCUUGAGGCUGGCCUGCAGGACUGGUGGCAGAAGGUGGGGUGGAGUUGAGUUGCAGCUCUAUCAAGAAAGCCGGAACUGCCUGAGUUAGCAGUGACUCUGAAUAACCAAGCAGGUGUCUGCACCUCCCUGGAGCACCGUCCCAGCGCUGGCAGCAGGAGGCUGGAGUCAGAAUGGAGCUCCAAUGGACCUGGGGUGCUGCUGCCUGCAGGAUCACCUCCUACAGAAUGUUCUUCCAGCUCCGGACUAGCCAGACUGCUUGGUUUCCCUGUGAGACUUGAAAGCUUGCUGCCCAUGCCCUCCCACAGCAGCAGACAGUUUCAGCUGGGUGUUUCAUUUGUGCUUUUCCUAAAGCAGUGAAACUCCUACAGGGUGAAAAGGCUUACAAUCAAGAAGUGAUUAGUUAAUUAAUCGCUGCUGUCUUCUGGGACACAGGGAAUGGAGCCAUUGUUCUGUUAUCGAAGUGCCUGUGUCACACAAGGCUCCCUAGGAGCAAUAACCUGCUUGUGAGGCUGUGAUGCAAGAGUUGAGGAACUGCUUUGCCCUGAAGGUUGCCUUCUCACAUGUUCAGAUGUUUCCAGGAACUGAGGAGUGCAGGACUGCUGGAUAACACCACAUCUAGAGCACCUCAGGCUGUUCGACAUGGAUAAUAGGAAACUCAAAUGGCUUUAAUGCAUACUCUUCCCUUCUGUGAAUGAGAAGAAAGGAGAAGACUGAACAUCCUGCUCUCACUUCUCUUCUUGCGUGAUGCCAGCUACAUGAACAUAAUUGCACCAAUUACAGGGAGUUGUGCAACUUUACGAACUGUCUAUAAAAGUUCUGCACUUAGAAGAUGGGUGGCCAGAAGGGAGCAGAGUAUCCUUCUGUUGCAACUCUUCUGAAGCUUCAUCUCUACCUUUGCAGGGUGUUUGUCAUGAAGCAAAUGUUUGGAGUUAGUACACCAGCUUUCAUUGACUGACUAUUACUUUUGAUGGUGUUUUAGCUUUAGGUUUAUUCUUCAUUGAACAAAGAUAGCAGUCAGUCCCACGCUUUCUGGGGAGAAGCAGGAUGUGGUUCUGCUUUUUAACUUUACUGCAUUAUAGGUAAUAAAUGGCUUUAAAAAAUCACUGCACUGCAGAGUGCCUCUCUGUAUUCUCUGUAAGUGCCUUUUAUAGUGCUCUUGGCCAAAACAAUGCUACUCUGUAUGAUAUACAGACUGGAACGUGGCAGAGUGAUGGACAAACACAUGGAGCUCAACCUGUCUCACUUACUCUGUAAUUCCUGAGCAACUUUGUGUUAAUACAGUUAGAAGGUUUGAGUUACAGUAUAUAACAGUGCUUUGAUCCUUAACUUUGGUGUGGUAGUGUUCGAACCAGGAUGGAUAGUAGUGUCUGUGUCUGACACAUUGCAGAUGUCAUUGCAAAUUAUAUUCUAUAUGCUCUCUGCUACCUUGGGAAGAAACCCAUGAUGCAAACAGCACUGAAAGCUGUGUGUCAUUGAUGUGAUGUGGUUGAUCCCCUAGUUAGACAGAUAGUAAUAGUUGCCCACAAGUCUGGGACCUGAGCAGUCAGCACCUGCACAUGGUGAGGAUCUGCACAUGGUUUAAAUGCAAACAUUUAGGCUUGGCUCACUGAAGGUGAGGAGUGUGGCCUGGUGCUUUACUGCACAUUUCCAGAAUCUGAAGGUGACCCUGAACUGUAGUGGUUGAGUGGCCUCGUGUUAAUGAAAGAACUGAACUCCUGAGCUCUGUUUUACACCAUUUCCCCUUUGCAGAAUUGUCUCUUUGCUGCUUUGUACUUCAAACAACUUGUGUGAAGAUUUGAACGAGGCUUCUGGCACAGGGACCAGAGAAGCUGGCAAACCUCGUGACUUCCACUUGAGGAGGCUUCUUAUUAGCUUUUAUAUCCUUGUCUCAUCUGUGUUAUAACUACAGGCUCUGGGCAGAGCUUUCUCUCACAUGAUACUGUGUGUACUUCUAAUUCAAUCUAUGGUAAAGAUUGCACCCCCAUAAUACAAGUGUUUAGUCUAUUUUCUUGUUGCUAUUGUUGUCUUCUAAGAAAAACAUAUAGACAACAACUCUUACAUCUGAAAUAUGGUGUUUUCUUUUGACAUACUGUUGGACUGUAAAUGCCUUUAUUUUUGUGCAGCCGCAGCAAGCGGGGACAUCCCAUAUUAAUCUCCUAAUUUAAAUUGGAAAUGAAAACCUGCCAUAACACUGGGGCCAUCCUUAAUUCAUUGAUUGUGCUGGCUGCAUUCCAGCAGUGUAGCUAAUUACAUUCUGCCCACAUCAAACCGUCCUUGCUGUGGUGGCUUUAUUUUUUGUCAGUUGCUGGCUUGAAUUUUUGUGUAGUCUCUGCAGCCUGACUUCACAUUUCCAGUGCUAAUGGAAAGCUGCUUACAAUGACUAAGCAGCUCUCCCUGAUGAAAGGGAAGCCCUUGGGUUGCUGGGCAGAGCCAGCACAGAGCUGUAUGUAAUCUGUAUGUAAUAUGUAUUCUGUGUCAUUCUACAUGGAUUGCAAUCCUGGUUCCAGCAGAACUGUUCUGUAUAUAACAGCCUCCCACUGUGCCCAGUUCCCAGCAUGACCUUAUGCAUGUGAACGCAGAGCUGUUUGACCUCAGUAUUUGCCAAGGAAAACCCUUCAAAUCUCCGAAAGCUGCUUUUUCUUCUGCCAAGAAGAGCUGCACGAGAGCUGCCUGCACUAUCUGCACCUGUUUGGCUGUGCCUUGUUGCUGGGGAGUCCCCCUUGCCAUUACGAUUGUGGCUGUGGCUCUGAAAAAGAUUGGCUACGAUGCCUCCAAUGUUUCCGUGGGCUGGUGCUGGGUCAACUUGGAUGCAGAGGAUC